UUUCGGGAUACCACGCUGGUCCAGAACCAGCC
rnacentral:sRNA from 1 species